rnacentral:lncRNA from 1 species
GGUCAAAGAACUUUGGGAUUUAUUGCUCUGAAAAGGGAUUGAUCUUGUCCAGGCCGUGAGGAAGGUUAAAUGUGUACCAAUGAUGACAUGAGUCUCACUCUGUCACCAAGGCUGGAAUGCAGCGGGGUGAUCUCGGCUCACUGCAACCUCUGCUUCCCAAGUUCAAGUGAUUCUCCUGCCUCAGCCUCCCAAGUAGCUGGGACCACAGGACCACAGAUGGGUGUCAUCAUUCCUGGCUAAUUUUUUAAAUGGAGAUGGGGUUUUGUCAUGUUGGCCAGGCUAGUCUUGAACUCCUGACGUCAGAUGAUCCAUCCACCUUGGCCUCCCAAAGUACUGGAAUUACAGGCAUGAGCCACUGCACCCAGCUGAUGAGCCCAUCUUGACACCUGACUACUAACUCAAGGCAUGGCUUACAUUGGAUUCACUCUUUGUGUACAGUUUUACGGAUUUUGACAAAUUAUAGUGUCACCCAGAAAAGCUUCACUGACCUAAAAAUCCCCUGUGCUCCACCUACCCAUAAUUCCCCCUCUUUCCCAAUCCCUGGCAACCACUGAUUUUUUUACUGUCUUCAUAGUUUUGCCAUUUUCAUAAUGUUACCGUGUUGGGCUACUCUUGUGUUGCUAUAAAGAAAAAUCUGAGACUGAGUACUUCAUAAAGAAAAGAGGUUUAA